rnacentral:lncRNA from 1 species
UGAGACUAUUUCUCUGUAAGCUAUAGAAUAUUUUAGAACAGGGAAUAUUAGGGCACAGAAAAUCUAGGCAGCUUGUUUAAGGGUAUACAAAGAGAUUCUAACAACUGAAAAUGGAAUAGGCACCUUUUGGUACCUUGUCCUCUAUUUUAGCCAUAAGCUCUGUUUUCUUGGUCAGUAAUGGUACCAAAAGUAUUUACAACUUUGAUAUUUUCCUGUAAACUGAGUUUUUGCUCUCUUGAUUGUCUCCUGAAUGCAGCACCUUUACUUGGCACAUAGGUGUACAAUGGCAGUUGUGAUCAGCUGUGUUUAUUUUGCAGGAUGCAAAGGUAGAAGGGGUGGAGUGUCUUAUGACUUACUACAUUAUGGGUGCAGCCACUCACAUGAUUUCUGGAUCCUCAUGUGUCUGCCUUGCUUGUUUGGACAAGGUUGUGCAAGGUGGGAGAUCUGAGAGAUGAGAAGGCGGAUACAAUCAUCUUUGGUUCUUCACACAGCUACUGUAGUUUCUACAGGGUACUACUGGGAUCAUAAAAACGACAACUAGAAAUGUUGAUCUGAACACCAGCCCUGUCCAGUUUGAGAGAAAAACACAGGUAGUACAAUGAGUGAUUCAUAUUAUUCAUUAUUCUAAGGAUUUGGAGCAUGAAACUAUUCAAACUUAGAAUCCAAACUAAAGAAAUAUGUCAUGAUAAAAUGAUGCAAGUUGGGAGGGAAUAAUCUGAGAAAUCACUUACUCUGGCUAUCUCAUCAAAAAAUUGGGGUGUAAGUAGGGGGGUGUCAUUUGCCAGCACAUAAAUCUAAAUCUGGAACUCAGCUGAAGUAGUCCAGUAUGAACAUCAACAUCUUUUUGCUUAUGCUUCUUGAAAUGUUUAGGCUGCAAAAGACGAAUGCUAGCAAACCAAAAAGAAAGCUAUGAGGAAGACCUGUUAAAAAGGCAAAACUAGCCAGACUGCUGACUUCCAAAAUGCUUUAAUGUUUGAAAAGAGUUAAGCAUUUUCAAAGGUUUUGAAAGGGGCCCUGACAUAUGACUUGAGAGCCAGAUGAUAAUAUCUAUACCAGUAGGAACUGAAUCAAUACCCUAACAAUAUAAAUCAGUGAUCUUCAGAUGUAAACGAAAGAUCCCACAUACUUACCAUUGUAAAUGUAGGUUAAAUUCUGUGACUUGAUUUUUUAAUUUUUAAUGGUAAAUGCACACUUGCAGUCACAGUUGCUUCAUAUCCUGUAAUCUGUCAUACCAAUGGAGUUUUUGCAGUUCUCCCAUCUAGUGCCACUCUCCUGGUACUGGGGCAGUGACGAAUUUGAGAGAGUCUUAUUCUCUCAAAUAAUCCACAUUGGCCAUUCAUCAUAUCUAGUGUGAUAUUCUUCUCCUAGAAGACUAGGGCAAAUAUUUCAACAGCCAGAGGUAGAAUUGAAAGGCCUUGUGGUAAGAGGUUUGCAGCUCUGACGUGACU